CUUACAGAAUGAUUUUAUGUUCGGAGAACCAUUAAUUGAUUUCAAAAGCUUCGAUGACACAUUCCAAUACUAGUAAUACAAAACAUUUGUGAACUUAAGAAUAUAAAGAUUCUGAAAACACCAGAAAUCUAUAUGCUUUCAAGACAUAAAAAUAUAAUUAAUUGUGUAAUGUAAUAAGGAAAGAAACUUUUAGUUGGCACAAUUCCGCACAGGGACAAUAAUUAUAAACCAAUUAACAUGUUCUCUAGUAUUAUGGAGGGCACUAACUACCAAAUUCACUGGGUACUAUAGAGGGUACUGCUCGUUUGAAAUGACAUUUUUCAGGAAAAUCAUUUCCGUGCUUCAGCCUUCUUCUGCUCUUUUGCAGCCUUUUCUUCUUCUCGCUUUCUGGCAGCUUCUGCCCUUUGCUGACGUAUGAGAGUCAAACGCUCUGCAUGAAUCCAUCUCACAUGAGAAGGCAUAGAAAUUGAUAUUGGAGCAUCAUAAAUGUGACAAUGAAUGCAACACUUCAUGAGCAUGCUAACCAUCUAUAAUAUCUUCAUGAAUGUUGCUUUUAUCUAGAUGUGUUUGUGUUACCCUGAAUUUCCUUCAAUUUUCAUAGACAAGCCAUCAAGGCAAAAAAGAUGUUUAUCUAUGCAUAUAUAAAACAAUAAUCUAAUUGUCACAGUAGGUGAUCUCAUGGCAUACUAACGUGUCAAAAGAUACAUCGUCCAUCAAACCAAAUCUAUUUCAUAGCUUAACCAUAUUCAACAUGCUUAUAGUCAACAUUAUACCUCCAACACAAUACAAAUAUAAACACGAAAAAAGGGAAAGGAAAAAAGGGGAAAAUACAUAAAACAAUAAAAUGCAAAUACAUGCCUAAGUCUUUUCUGGCUUGUUCUGUUUUUCCUUGUUCUUGCAGCCUCAUGUAUCGCUCAUGAGCUCUUUGUUUCUCUAACUCUUCCCUGCAAAUAACAUAUACAAGUUGGAAGUCAAAUAAAUUUAUUCACAUAGAUAAUUAAAGAUUAUUAGGUUUGAAUCCCAGUUUUAGGAUACUAAUCCAGCCAGCAAAGAUACGAAAACUGGGUAAUUGUUAAUAGUUCAUUCCAUAUACAAUAGCGCAUUCUCUCUUUGGUAGACAGUAAGCAGUCCCCAUAAGAGGACAAGCAAUGAGCAUUUACCAACCUUUCACGCCUUGAAAGCUCUGUUGUUUUCCCAAUAUCAAUGUCUCUAGCUUUCACAUUCUUUGGCUUUGCCAGAUUAGGAUUUUCAAUCUGAAUAAUGCCUUGAGUUCCCUUCCGCUUUUGUUCAGGUUCAUCAUCUGAUUCUUCUUCAGACUCCUCCCCAGAUUCUUCUUCAGGUUGUUCCUUUUCAUAUUCAGCUUCUUGCUUUUUAAAUGUACGAGGGCGUGAGGAGGUGCCAGCAAGCAUCUCCUCAGGAGUGGAAAAGUGGCGCUGACCGGUGGGCUUGCCCUUAAACUUUCCUCUUCCCAUGGUGACCGCCGGAUAAACUAAACAGAGCUAGAAAGGGAAGAUUGAAUUGGUUGUUUGAAUAUGAUGAGAAGCUGAGCUGAUCAAGAAGCAGUUACUGUGUCUCUUAAAUAGAACUUUUGGUUUUUCCGGAGGAGGAUUUUGAAUUGAACUCAAAAACCCUAGUUCUACUGGAGAAUGGAAAUAUCAAAUAUGGAAUCGGAGCAGCGUGUGGAGUGGAGGGGACAAAUCGUGUGCAAUGAUGUAU
rnacentral:misc_RNA from 1 species